rnacentral:rRNA from 1 species
CCUACGGGGUGCAGCAGUGGGGAAUAUUGGACAAUGGGCGAAAGCCUGAUCCAGCCAUGCCGCGUGUGUGAAGAAGGCCUUCGGGUUGUAAAGCACUUUCAGUGGGGAAGAAAGCCUUGGGGCUAAUACCCUCGAGGAAGGACAUCACCCACAGAAAAAGCACCGGCUAACUCCGUGCCAGCAGCCGCGGUAAUACGGAGGGUGCGAGCGUUAAUCGGAAUUACUGGGCGUAAAGCGCGCGUAGGCGGUCUGAUAAGCCGGUUGUGAAAGCCCCGGGCUCAACCUGGGAACGGCAUCCGGAACUGUCAGGCUAGAGUGCAGGAGAGGAAGGUAGAAUUCCCGGUGUAGCGGUGAAAUGCGUAGAGAUCGGGAGGAAUACCAGUGGCGAAGGCGGCCUUCUGGACUGACACUGACGCUGAGGUGCGAAAGCGUGGGUAGCAAACAGGAUUAGAUACCCUAGUAGUC